UACGAAGGGGGCUAGCGUUGCUCGGAAUCACUGGGCGUAAAGCGCACGUAGGCGGCUCUUUAAGUCAGGGGUGAAAUCCUGGAGCUCAACUCCAGAACUGCCCUUGAUACUGAGGAGCUUGAGUCCGGGAGAGGUGAGUGGAACUGCGAGUGUAGAGGUGAAAUUCGUAGAUAUUCGCAAGAACACCAGUGGCGAAGGCGGCUCACUGGCCCGGUACUGACGCUGAGGAGCGAAAGCCAGGGGAGCAAACGGG
rnacentral:rRNA from 1 species